UGAACGCUGGCGGCGUGCCUACUACAUGCACAUCGAGCGAACAGACGAGGAGCUUGCUCCUCUGACGUUAGCGGCGGACGGGUGAGUAACACGUGGAUAACCUACCUAUAAGACUGGGAUAACUUCGGGAAACCGGAGCUAAUACCGGAUAAUAUAUUGAACCGCAUGGUUCAAUAGUGAAAGACGGUUUUGCUGUCACUUAUAGAUGGAUCCGCGCCGCAUUAGCUAGUUGGUAAGGUAACGGCUUACCAAGGCGACGAUGCGUAGCCGACCUGAGAGGGUGAUCGGCCACACUGGAACUGAGACACGGUCCAGACUCCUACGGGAGGCAGCAGUAGGGAAUCUUCCGCAAUGGGCGAAAGCCUGACGGAGCAACGCCGCGUGAGUGAUGAAGGUCUUCGGAUCGUAAAACUCUGUUAUUAGGGAAGAACAAAUGUGUAAGUAACUAUGCACGUCUUGACGGUACCUAAUCAGAAAGCCACGGCUAACUACGUG
rnacentral:rRNA from 1 species